GUCUACAGCCAUGCUACCAUGAACACGCCCAAUUCUCUCUGAUCUUGGAAGCUAAGCAGGGUCGGGCCUGGUUAGUACUUGGAUGACAGACCACCUAGGAAGACCAGGUGCUGUAAAUG
ensembl:rRNA 5S_rRNA 5S ribosomal RNA